UACGUAGGGACCAAGCGUUGUUCGGAUUUACUGGGCGUAAAGGGCGCGUAGGCGGCGUGACAAGUCACUUGUGAAAUCUCCGGGCUUAACCCGGAACGGCCAAGUGAUACUGCUGUGCUAGAGUGCAGAAGGGGCAAUCGGAAUUCUUGGUGUAGCGGUGAAAUGCGUAGAUAUCAAGAGGAACACCUGAGGUGAAGACGGGUUGCUGGGCUGACACUGACGCUGAGGCGCGAAAGCCAGGGGAGCAAACGGG
rnacentral:rRNA from 1 species